GAAAAAUUUAACAUUUAUUAUCAUAUAGCAUGUAAUGGACUAAAAUGGUGGAGACUGAAGUCUGAGUUAUUGACCCAGCUCCAUGUAGAACUCAGGUGCUUUUAAGACCGGGAAUUGAUUGAUUGCGUGGCAUAAAUGAGCUUACUGCACACAGUAAGAUUAGGGUGAUACGCUUAAGAUACUGUUAUAUCCAAGUACAUGCCACUGGUCCCAGAUAGGGAAGAUAUUGAAUGGAAUUUGAGCAAAUCACAAAAAGAAGAUACGAAUAAUUAUCAUUCCAGGUAUUAAAGACCCAACAGCUUGAAGUGUGGUCAAAUGUUGAGCUGACAAUAGUAAGAAAACAAGACUCAGACAUGAUAUCAACUGGAAGAUGUGGCGGCACCGGAUUGUGUUUGUGUUGGUUUGAAGAGUUAUCAAAUUCUUCGCGCUAUUGAGGAGGCAAGCAUCGUCAGCGAAAAAGUUUGCUUAAAAGAUUUGAUGAGUUCGAUAAAUCAUUUAUGUAUAAUAAAAAUUCAAGAGCACCCAACACAGAACCUUGAACAACUCCACAGUGAAUGGGCAACAUUGGAGACUUAUGAGAAUCCACCUCCACAAAUUGAUAUCUACCAAGCAGGUUCAAGAUUAUUUGAUGAACUUCGGGAGGUGUCGUUUGCUCGAGAAAAAAAGAAUUUUGUAAAGGAGCGCCUAAGAAGUCAGUGGGUGACUUAGAGCUAUGUGGGAUUUUAUCCGCAAGUUUCUUGCCUACAGUGGAAAAGAACUUAUUGAACUCUGAGGCCAUUAUUACGGGGUCUUUAACAAUGGAACCAUUUUCAAGUUUCAAUUCUUGGAUGGUGGAAUUAUCACUGGACUUAACUUUGAUAAUCUCAUUGAUAGUCCUCCAAGUUCGUUUAACGUCCCCUCUGUUGUUAUCAAGGAUAUUAUGGUAAUACUGUUGCUUGGAUUUUCUCAGUAAAUGUAACAGAAUAUUUUUGAAUUUUGUAAAGUAAAGACGCUGAGAUGCAUUGCCCUUCAAAAACUUUUUUUUGAACAUGCUGU